rnacentral:rRNA from 1 species
GACGAACGCUGGCGGCGUGCCUAACACAUGCAAGUCGAGCGGAUGAAGGGGGCUUACUCCUGGAUUCAGCGGCGGACGGGUGAGUAAUGCCUAGGAAUCUGCCUGGUAGUGGGGGAUAACGUCCGGAAACGGGCGCUAAUACCGCAUCCGUCCUGAGGGAGAAAGUGGGGGAUCUUCGGACCUCUCGCUAUCAGAUGAGCCUAGGUCGGAUUAGCUAGUUGGUGGGGUAAAGGCCUACCAAGGCGACGAUCCGUAACUGGUCUGAGAGGAUGAUCAGUCACACUGGAACUGAGACAGGGCCCAGACUCCUACGGGAGGCAGCAGUGGGGAAUAUUGGGCAAUGGGCGAAAGCCUGAUCCAGCCAUGCCGCGUGUGUGAAGAAGGUCUUCGGAUUGUAAAGCGCUUUAAGUUGGGAGGAAGGGAAGUAAGUUAAUACCUGGCGGUUUUGACGUUACCAACAGAAUAAGCACCGGCUAACUUCGUG